UGAAAACACCUGGGGGGUAACUAAUAAAGAUGACCAGAGGCUAGUGAACUAAAAGUGUUCCCAACGAAGCAGCCCUCUGAUCCAUAUACUUUAGCUACAUCUUACAUCACUAAGAUUCAUAUUAUAUACUGUGAUAUUCCACCUGCACAGCAAAGAAUCCCCCACUACUCACAAAAAAAUAUGAUGCUGAGAGGUUUGAGCACAACAGAUAAUUAUAUGCAAGCAAACACAUUUUUCCAUGAAGCAUUCUUUAAGGAUGUUCCAGAGGAUCUUGAAAGAUCUUUAAAGAGCUAUGAAUUGAUAGAAAUAUAAUCUUGGAUUUAUUUUUUAAUUAUUUACUAGUUAAUACAAUUACUGCUUUUAAUGUAGAACAACUUUUAACUGAUCCUACUUUGUUGUAGACUUGCAUAAAAAGGAGACAAUCUAAUGAAAUAUCUGAAAGCAAAACAAAGAGAAUAAUAAUAGUUUGAGGUCUGAAUUACAUUCUCUUGCCUUUUGAUAUGCAUUGUUAAAUUUCCUAUAAGAUAUCCUAAUAUAUUUAUUUAGAAUUUACAAUUCUACAUAAAUAUUAACUUUCUUAAUGUGAUUUUACUUUUAAGAAUCUGUCAACUUAAAUUCAUGACUACUGAAGAAUCACUUUAUCUUUAUAUAUCUGAAGACAUGAAAGUCUUAUUUACUAAGGAAUAAUGGGAUCAAAAAUUCUUCAAGCCACUCCACUUAAGUCAUUAUUUUCCAUGUUACUCAGAAUGCAUUAACUCCAGUACCAAAAUGUAACCACUAUGAUUCUUAAUGUCUUCAUGACUCUCUAAACUGUGUUGUUAAUCAUUUUGUGAUAAAUCUUUUCAGAAAGCCUAUGAUGACCAAAGUUUAUUAGAAUCAUCAAGACAUAGAAAAAAAUAAUACUGUGUUGCAUUAAAAAUGGAAAACACCCCAAAUUAACUCUUGCAGAUAGUCCACUAUCAGAGAUGGGUAAGAUAAAUAAUUUAGGACAUUCAUUUCACAUUUUCAAAUUAGUAAUGUAUAUUCUACAGCUUUCUAUUUACAUACGGAUCUAUAUGGGGUACUAUGAAAAAUACUUUUGUUAAAAUACAUUAUCAAAUUAUUUACAUAAAAUUGACUUUAAGUCAAGUUUUGCUUAUUCACAAGUAUUUAUUAUAUGUUUCACUGUGUAACCAGCUACUGUUUUUGUUAAUCAGCUUUUUUGAGGUAUGUGUUUUAUUCACUAAAAUAAGCUCAUUUUUAGUGUGUA